rnacentral:rRNA from 1 species
AAUCAACGCUGGCGGCGUGCCUAACACAUGCAAGUCGCACGAGAAAGGGUCUUCGGAUCUGAGUAAAGUGGCGCACGGGUGAGUAACACGUGACUAAUCUACCCUCGAGUGGGGAAUAACCUAGGGAAACCUGGGCUAAUACCGCAUAACACUUACGAGUCAAAGCAGCAAUGCGCUUGGGGAGGAGGUCGCGGCAGAUUAGCUAGUUGGCGGGGUAAUGGCCCACCAAGGCAAUGAUCUGUAUCCGGCCUGAGAGGGCGCACGGACACACUGGAACUGAAACACGGUCCAGACUCCUACGGGAGGCAGCAGUGGGGAAUUUUGCGCAAUGGCGGAAACCCUGACGCAGCAACGCCGCGUGGAGGAUGAAGUCUCUUGGGACGUAAACUCCUUUCGAUAGGGAAGAUAAUGACGGUAC